AUUGAACGCUGGCGGCAGGCCUAACACAUGCAAGUCGAGCGGAUGAAGGGAGCUUGCUCCUGGAUUCAGCGGCGGACGGGUGAGUAAUGCCUAGGAAUCUGCCUGGUAGUGGGGGAUAGCGUCCGGAAACGGGCGCUAAUACCGCAUACGUCCUGAGGGAGAAAGUGGGGGAUCUUCGGACCUCACGCUAUCAGAUGAGCCUAGGUCGGAUUAGCUAGUUGGUGGGGUAAAGGCCUACCAAGGCGACGAUCCGUAACUGGUCUGAGAGGAUGAUCAGUCACACUGGAACUGAGACACGGUCCAGACUCCUACGGGAGGCAGCAGUGGGGAAUAUUGGACAAUGGGCGAAAGUCUGAUCCAGCCAUGCCGCGUGUGUGAAGAAGGUCUUCGGAUUGUAAAGCACUUUAAGUUGGGAGGAAGGGCAGUAAGUUAAUACCUUGCUGUUUUGACGUUACCAACAGAAUAAGCACCGGCUAACUUCGUG
rnacentral:rRNA from 1 species